CCGCGCGGUGAGCACAGAGCGAACUAUUCUUUCGCCUUUUACUAAAGAAUACCGUGUGCACGCCGCAAAUAACGGCAUACGCCAAUUUUUUGAGGGGAUCUCCUCUAUUGGAGCCCCACAAUUCUAGUUUAAAAGCUAUGACGACGUUGCUUUUCGAACGGAAGGUCCUUCAUUCUGUGAUCUGUUUUAAUUGCCGGUGUCGUAGAAACUAAACGUUCGGGAAGCUAACGGCAGUUAUCAAAUGGGCGUCGCCACGAACACCAACCUCAAAGCCAGGGAUCCCAUGCUUCUCUGCACUCAUGUCUCCUCAUAGCUUGAAAGAUAAUUACUUGUUUUCUUUGCAGGUUGAGAGGGACACAAUACUCAUUUAGUUCAACUAAUGAGGAGAGAGUGUAUAUACGCAUAUUCAAAGGAGAGGAGCAAGAUCGGGUCAACCCAAAGCUUAUAGAGACUUUUAUCGGAUUGGGUUUGUGUUUGAUAUCCGAAUUGCCCUGUUAAACUAACUUUUUCAUUCUUUUUUAUGAUAGAGUUGUGUUAAUUUCGCAUAGUUUUGUUAGAUUUGUGUUGUUGUUACAGCUCUUGAUCCUCGUAGAUUUAUUUCUUCAAUUUCUUUUCGGCCAUGAAUUUGACCACAAAUCUGUCUCCACGAUAUGUUUGAUAAAAGUUCUCUUUAAUACCA